rfam:Brassica napus, WGS project CCCW01000000 data, contig: 10607
GGAAGUUAAGAAACUGUUUCUUAACUUUUAACUAAAAAAGCUAAGAACCGGUUCUUAAAGUCCUUAUUUAAGAACCGGUUCUUAGUUUUUUUAGUUAAAAGUUAAGAAACAGUUUUUUAACUUCC